rnacentral:lncRNA from 10 species
CUCAGGACUUUCAGAGGAUCUGGAAGAUGCACUCCUAGCUGGUCUGAGGCCUUAAACAUUCUUUUUCUUGUUAAAUGGAAACUUCCUCUGUUUAACUCAAUAAAGGAGGCCAGCCAGGAGCCCAGGCAGAGAUGUGGAAUUAGAGCCAGUAAUGGAAGAACCAAACUUCGCUUCUCGUGGUCUACAUGUACCUUUCUAUACAAGGUCAAAGUCACUUUCAAGUAGCCCAACCGCAAGAGGUUUCAUGAAGUGUGAUGCAACUUUCAUUUCAUAAUUUUCGGACAAUCCCAGAUAUACAUCACAAGAUCUUUGUUUACCAUGACAGAGUGUCUCCUUAGACUAUUCUCGCUCUUUACCUUUUAAAAUCUACUUUGGUGAGAGAAUUUGGAAUUUGGAAUUCACCACAUGGAAGAAUCUAAGAAACCUGCCUACUUAUCAGCACUACUUUGUUGUUCUUCACAAUUAGUUGGAGCUUUCUUUGGUCAACAGCAGAUGUGACUAAGAAAAUCACGCUGUUUCACUUAGAGCAGUGGUCACCAAGUGUGGUCCUUAGGCCACACAGGUCAGCAUCACCUAGGAACUAGGAAAUGCAAGUUCUUAAGCAAUCCCACCCAGACCUACUGAAUUGGAAGUGCUGAGGAUGGGGUCCAGCAAUCUGUGGUUGAACAAGCUCUGCAGGCAUCCAGGAGCAGAGCUGUGGGGCAGCAGAAUCUGUGAUGACAGAGAAUGAUGAUGUAUUUUUGCCAGCAGAUGCUUUUGCUCCUGUUUUGAUACCCCAAUAUUCGGAUGCAGAAAAGGACUCUGAGCAUUGCUGACGGGUGUGCUCUGCACACCUAUCUCUUCAGGAUCUGAAUAAUUUGGUGGAAAGACAAUGCCUUUUCUGGAAAAGGGUGUCAGGCCAUGGCAACUGUGAGAAUACAGGUUACUAUGGAGAUGAAGGCUAGACAACAG